UGGGGAAUAUUGGACAAUGGGCGCAAGCCUGAUCCAGCCAUGCCGCGUGAGUGAUGAAGGCCCUAGGGUUGUAAAGCUCUUUCACCGGUGAAGAUAAUGACGGUAACCGGAGAAGAAGCCCCGGCUAACUUCGUGCCAGCAGCCGCGGUAAUACGAAGGGGGCUAGCGUUGUUCGGAUUUACUGGGCGUAAAGCGCACGUAGGCGGACUUUUAAGUCAGGGGUGAAAUCCCGGGGCUCAACCCCGGAACUGCCUUUGAUACUGGAAGUCUAGAGUAUGGUAGAGGUGAGUGGAAUUCCGGGUGUAGAGGUGAAAUUCGUAGAUAUUCGGAGGAACACCAGUGGCGAAGGCGGCUCACUGGACCAUUACUGACACUGAGGUGCGAAAGCGUGGGGAGCAAACAGG
rnacentral:rRNA from 1 species